rnacentral:rRNA from 1 species
GACGAACGCUGGCGGCGUGCUUAACACAUGCAAGUCGAACGGAGAGGCCCUGCUUUUUUGGUGUGCUCGAGUGGCGCACGGGUGAGUAACACGUGAGUAACCUGCCCUUGACUUUGGGACAACUUCAGGAAACUGGGGCUACUACCGGCUAGGAGCUCCUGCUGCCUGGUGGGGGUUGGAACGUUUCGGCGGAUGGGGAUGUACUCGCGGCUUAUCAGCUUGUUGGGGGGGUAGUGGCUUACCCAGGCUUCGAUGGGUAGCCGGCCUGGGAGGGUGACCGGCCACAGUGGGACUGAGAUGCGGGCCAUGCUCCUACGGGAGGCAUCAGUGGAGAAUAGUGCACGAUGGGCGGAAGCCGUAUGCAGCAACGCCGCGUGGGGGAGGACGGCCUGCGGGUUGUAGACCGCUGUGGCCAGUGAUGAAGGGUGAGGGACGGUAAUGGGUAAAGAAGCACCGGCUAACUACGUG